rnacentral:lncRNA from 1 species
GGUUGUUCAUGUCUUCUAAGGAAUUUGCCCAUUUCUUCUCGGUUGUUGAAUUUUUUGGCAUGAAGUUGUUCAUAAUAUUCCCUUAUUGUCCUUGUAACAGGAUAUGUCAUGAAUUCACUACUCUCAUUUCUGAUUUUGAUAAUUUGUAUAAUCACUUUCUUUUUCCUGAUCAGUCUGACUGGAGGUUAUAAAUUUCACUGAUUUUUUUCAAACAUCCAGCUUUUUGUUUUAUUGCUUUUUCCUUUUGUGUUUUGUUUUCUAUGUCUUUUAUUUCCUGCUCUAAUCUUCAUUAUUUUCUUUCUUCCUCUUAUAAAUUUGCUUUUCUUUGUAUAGUUUCUUAAGCUGGAAGCUGAAGACAUUGAUUUGAGAUCUUUUUUCUUUUCUAAAACAGGCAUUUCUACAAGUUCCCUCCAAGUACUGCCUCAGCAGCAUCCUACAGAUUCUAUGACAUUGUGUUUUCAUUUUCAUUUGGUCCAAAAUAUUUUGUAAUUUCAUUUUUGAUUGCUUAUUUGCCCCAUAGAUUAUUUAGAAGUGUGCUAUUAAUUUCUGAAUAUUUAGAGAUUUUCCAGAAAUCUUUUUGUUAUUGAAUUUAAUUCCACUGUAGUUAGAAAACAAAACAUGUAUAACUUGUAUCCCUUUAACUUUAGUAAGACUUGUCUUAUGGCCCAGAAUAUGGUCUGUGCUAUAGUCUAAAUAUUUAUGUCCUCCUCAAAUUGUUACAGUGAAAUUCUUACCCUAGGGUGAUGAUAUUACAAGAUAAGGCCUUUGGGAGAUGAUUAGGUCAUGAUGGCAGAGCCCUUAUGAAUGGGAUUAAUGCCCUUAUAAAAGAGAUCCCAGAGAAGCCCUUGCAUCUUCCACCAUGUAAGAACACAGUGCGAAAGUGCUGUCUGUGUACCAAGAAGUGGGCUGUCACCAGACACUGAGUAUGUCAACAUCUUGAUUUUGGACUUCCCAGCCUCCAGAACUGUGAGAAAUAAAUUUAUGUUGUUCAUAAACCACCCAGUUUACAGCAUUUUCUUACGGCAGCCUGAAUGAACAAAGACAGUCUAUCUUUAGAACUGUUCUGUAAGUACUCGAAAAGAGUGCAUAUUCUGCUGCUGUUGGGUGGAGUGUUCUCUAAUGUCAAUUAGGUCUCAUUGGUUGAUAGUGUUGCUCAAACAUUCUAUACCCUUACUUUCUUGUCUACUUAUCAAUUGUUGAGAGAAGGCAGUUGAAAUCUUUGACUAUAAAUGCAGAUUUUUCUAUUUCUCCUAGAAGUUCUU